CUUUUCGUGGUGUAGAUGGCAACGCGCCAGUCUAUUGAGUAGGAGUCGUGAGUUCGAGUCUCACCGAGAGGA
rnacentral:tRNA from 1 species